UACGUAGGGUGCAAGCGUUGUCCGGAUUUAUUGGGCGUAAAGAGCGUGUAGGCGGCCUGGUAGGUCAGUUGUGAAAACUCGAGGCUCAACCUCGAGACGCCGAUUGAAACCACCAGGCUAGAGUCCGGAAGAGGAGAGUGGAAUUCCCGGUGUAGCGGUGAAAUGCGCAGAUAUCGGGAAGAACACCCGUGGCUAAGGCGGCUCUCUAGUACGGUACUGACGCUGAGACGCGAAAGCGUGGGGAGCGAACAGG
rnacentral:rRNA from 1 species